CCACAAUCAUCUUUCUUCUCCCAUCUUCUUAUCUUCUCCUCAUAAUAACAAAAUCAAGAAAAUCUGUAGAUGUAGAGCCAGAGACGACGACUAAACAGAGACGUCGAUUGAACCAGAGUUGCAGUGAGAAGAGAUAUGGUGACUAAUUAGUUAGUGGUUGGUGUUAUUUCGUGGAAACAGAGGAAGGAGAAACCAGAGGCGGUGGUAUAAGAAAUCGAAGAAAGAUAAUGGGAAGAUCGAAAAGGAGAAGAAGGGGAUAGUGAUAAACCGUUCGUUAUCAUGAGCUUAAGAAGUAAAAGGAAGUUGAGAAAGAAAACCUUGUAAAGUUUAUAAGAGACUUAACCGUAAAACAGUCGAGGAACCUCAUCAUUUGGAACUGAGCAUAUCUGCAAGUUUCUCGAUAAUUCAUUUUUUCAGGGAUAAAGUUGUUGAGCUUCACUGGAAUACAUCUGAUCCAUGGACAAUUGUUAGCGUCUCUGAUGAUUGCGAAAGCAGUGGUGGUGGCGGGACUUUGCAGGGUAGCUUUGAAGCAGUCAAAAGAUCAUGUGGGUGUUGUGAGUCCUUGAUUGAGGAUGAAGACCAACUGGAACAGUGCGAGUCUUCCUGUGAUCUUGCGACUCAUUUAUUCUGCCAUGCAUGUUCUCUUUGCCAAGAAGGGCGAGAACUUUGCAGGGGGAUGCCUCACCCUGGAUUCAACGGCCAAUAAGUGUUGGUUAUGAUUCCUCCAAUAGAGCAGACAAUGGGGCGGGAUGGACUAUUAGUUUCUCUCCCGGUCAUCUCCAGAGUCCACAAGAGUCUGACCUGUUAAUACUUGUAUUUUGCUAUCAUCUCAGAUAGUUGUGUUAGUAUAUAUCUGGAGUUCACACAAGACAGAACCAUAAAAAUGAAAAUAAAUAUCGUUCGAUUUUUAUUCAUGCA